AACGAACGCUGGCGGCAUGCCUAACACAUGCAAGUCGAACGAGACCUUCGGGUCUAGUGGCGCACGGGUGCGUAACGCGUGGGAACCUGCCCUUAGGUUCGGAAUAACUCCCCGAAAGGGGUGCUAAUACCGGAUAAUGUCUUCGGACCAAAGAUUUAUCGCCUUUGGAUGGGCCCGCGUUGGAUUAGCUAGUUGGUAGGGUAAAAGCCUACCAAGGCGACGAUCCAUAGCUGGUCUGAGAGGAUGAUCAGCCACACUGGGACUGAGACACGGCCCAGACUCCGACGGGAGGCAGCAGUGGGGAAUAUUGGACAAUGGGCGAAAGCCUGAUCCAGCAAUGCCGCGUGAGUGAUGAAGGCCUUAGGGUUGUAAAUCUCUUUUACCCGGGAUGAUAAUGACAGUACCGGGAGAAUAAGCUCCGGCUAACUCCGUG
rnacentral:rRNA from 1 species